GACGAACGCUGGCGGCGUGCUUAACACAUGCAAGUCGAACGGAAAGGCCUCUUUCGGGGGGUACUCGAGUGGCGAACGGGUGAGUAACACGUGAGUAACCUGCCCUUGACUUUGGGAUAACUUCAGGAAACUGGGGCUAAUACCGGAUAGGAGCUCCUGCUGCAUGGUGGGGGUUGGAAAGUUUCGGCGGUUGGGGAUGGACUCGCGGCUUAUCAGCUUGUUGGUGGGGUAGUGGCUUACCAAGGCUUUGACGGGUAGCCGGCCUGAGAGGGUGACCGGCCACAUUGGGACUGAGAUACGGCCCGGACUCCUACGGGAGGCGGCGGUGGGGAAUAUUGAACAAUGGGUGGAGGCCUGAUGCAGCAACGCCGUGUGCGGGAUGACGGCCUUCGGGUUGUAAACCGCUUUCGCUCAUGACGAAGCUUUGUGUGACGGUAGUGGGUAAAGAAGCACCGGCUAACUACGUG
rnacentral:rRNA from 1 species